rnacentral:lncRNA from 1 species
CAUGAGACACCGUGCCCAGCCAUGUUUUCUCUUUAUAGUAUUUGUUACUUCUACAAGUAUCGGGGCAAGGAAAACAACUUCAUUCUGAGAGCCAGCAAACUGAGAAGAUGGCAGACUAGUGUUCAAAAGAACCAUCUUGGCAGGGUGUGGUGGCUCACAUCUGUAAUCCCAGCACUUUGGGAGGCUGAGGCAGGUGGAUCACUUGUCACGACCUGCUUCAGGAGAGAAGGUUAGAAGGUCAGAGAGAUCUUCUUGCUUCUGCUGAUAGUGAAAAACGGGUUUCAAUUUCCAUUUAAAAUGCUGUAAGAUACACAGCUUUGAUAAUUAUAUUUUUCUAAUUGUAACAUUUUGAAUUUCAGUUGCUCCCUUUAACCUCAACCCCUUUUCUAAGGAUGCUAAUACCAUUCAUGAGGGAGAGCCCUCAAGACUUAAUCACGUU